GCCUGGUGGCUCAGUCGAUUAAGCACCCGACUUCAGCUCAGGUCACGAUUUCAUGGUUUGUGGGUUCAAGCCCCACAUCAGGCU
rnacentral:tRNA from 1 species